GUACACUCCUACGGGAGGCAGCAGUGAGGAAUAUUGGACAAUGGGUGGAAGCCUGAUCCAGCCAUCCCGCGUGCAGGAAGACGGCCCUAUGGGUUGUAAACUGCUUUUAUCUGGGGAUAAACCUACUUACGUGUAAGUAGCUGAAGGUACCAGAAGAAUAAGCACCGGCUAACUCCGUGCCAGCAGCCGCGGUAAUACGGAGGGUGCAAGCGUUAUCCGGAUUUAUUGGGUUUAAAGGGUCCGUAGGCGGACUGAUAAGUCAGUGGUGAAAUCCGACAGCUUAACUGUCGAACUGCCAUUGAUACUGUUAGUCUUGAGUAAGGUUGAAGUGGCUGGAAUAAGUAGUGUAGCGGUGAAAUGCAUAGAUAUUACUUAGAACACCAAUUGCGAAGGCAGGUCACUAAGUCUUAACUGACGCUGAUGGACGAAAGCGUGGGGAGCGAACAGGAUUAGAAACCCCUGUAGUCCCAU
rnacentral:rRNA from 1 species